UACGUAGGGGGCUAGCGUUGUCCGGAAUCAUUGGGCGUAAAGCGCGUGUAGGCGGCCCGGUAAGUCCGCUGUGAAAGUCCAGGGCUCAACCCUGGGAUGCCGGUGGAUACUGUCGGGCUCGAGUCCGGAAGAGGCGAGUGGAAUUCCUGGUGUAGCGGUGAAAUGCGCAGAUAUCAGGAGGAACACCAAUGGCGAAGGCAGCUCGCUGGGACGUGACUGACGCUGAGACGCGAAAGCCAGGGGAGCGAACGGG
rnacentral:rRNA from 1 species